AUCGGUCGUGGCUCCCGUUGGGCUGUGAACAUCUGGACGACGACACUUUAAUAACAAACUAUUUGUUUUUAUUUGUUAUUUCUUAAAUUGCUCGCGAGUCUCGUGGCGUUUAUCUGGUGGAGGGAACGCGGACGCGGCGUGUCAUCGCCUCACGAGAGAACACGCUGAUAUUAAACGCCAUAAAGAUACAGAUGUUUGGCGGGUUGUGGGUGAGAGUCCCUGAGGUCGUAUCUGAGGGCGCGGCUGCUUUGAUACGCUCGACUCAGACUCAAUCAGCAGACGCUCUCCUUUCAUGUGAACUUAUCACACUAUUUAUGAUUAUUUGGUGGUAAAAGUCCACGUUUGUUUGUGUGGUGUGUUUCUUUGUGUUUUGUAACUACAGUAACAGUUCAAAUAAAUAAGGAUUAUUAACUCUACAGCAUUACAGCAGCUAGCUCGCUAACUAGCCGGUCGCUAAACGAGUAGAAUAAAACUGAAUGCUUUCGUCCUUUCUGUGUUUGAGUCGCCCUUUAAACUUCCUAAAUGAUAAAAUAUUUCUUGAAUGCGAUCAGGAGCCACUAGCCGCUUCCUCUCUCUUCCUUUUAUCCCCAUAAAUCAUCGGCUCACCCCUCUUUUCUAUGAGCCCUUUCAUUGUUGGGACUUUCCCGCCGGCGUGUCGCUGCUCGAUGGAGGAGCAGCCGGCCUGACGUCAGCGUCUGAGUGGCAGCUCGCCACGCCGCGUCCUCGCCGCGUCUAUUCAUCGCCUGCACUGCACCGUCUCCAGUGUUGCACAACCAGCAGCUUCCUGUUUCUGCUCCUCCGGGAUCGUGACACCUGAACUCUGGUUUACCCCCCCGAGACUCGCUGAGCCCCCCGGGGCCCGAGCGGGAUGCGUCUGGGGAGGAAGGGGCCGGUAUAAAUAGACGCCGUGUCCCUGCUCGGGUUACCUGGAAUACCAGGAGAGACAGCGUUUGGAGACGAUCCUCCACCUGUGUGCCGAGUACAACAAGGGAGAGACCUCCUGCGACCCUCUGCCCUCCGGUAGCACCGGUUUCCCCGGCGGGCCGUCCAACAACAACGCCAUUGGAGGCCCCGCCUCCUCCGCGGCGGGGGGGCUGCACCUCCUGCAGAGGCAGCGGGAGAGCGACGAGGAGAACCUGAAGGAGGAGUGCAGCAGUACGGAGAGCACCCAUCAGGAGGUGAGGACGUCGGCGCUGCACGCCAAAGACGGACAGGUGAAACAGCACUAAAGGGGCAAUGACAUCACGGGGCGAUGACAUCACGGGGCGAUGACACGGCAGCAGAGGGAGUUCACUUCCUACCCACAUGCAGCAGCAGAGACGCAGAGUCUGGAUCAGGACUAAAGUCAGCGUGUCUCACCCUCGGGGAGGGGCAGCAGGGUGAUGGCGGUGCUGAGGCGUCCACUACCCAGAC